AAAUAAUAAAGUCAAAGAGAUUACCAUUCCAUAGACUUUCAUGCUGCCUUUCGAAGUAACCAUAGUUUGCAGCAAGAACUCCAUCAACAUCAAAUGAAGAACCAUCAACGAUUGAAGCCGGUAAGAUCAGUCGCCACCAUCCGCUGUAGAUCUGUCAAUUACCUUUUCUAAAUGGUUCAAUUGAACCAAGUUUUUGUCUUACCAAAUCCAUUGGAAGAAACAUACAAAAGAACAAUAAAAAACUAUGCCAUAUUUAAAAUAAAUUUGCAAUCAAACAAACCAAGUGUAAAAUUCAUAAAUUUCCAGAAGUCUAGAAAAUAGGGUCAAAAAGUUUUGCGUUAAAAUUGAAAGGAUCAUCCCUGAAGUAUUUAAGAGUUUUUUAUACUUUAGUCCAUUUAUAAUUUUUUUAAUGUAUGGGUUUAUAUGUGACGAAGAACUGCAAUGAUAAAAUAAUAUUAAAAUAGUUUCAUUUUUUAUCAUAUGUUUAUGAACAUUUUUUCCUGCACAUACACAUGAUUUAACCAACAUUUUCAUAAUAUGGAUGAACUAUAGUUCUUAUGUAAAUUUAUGUGAUAUUUUUAAUUUGAUUUAUAUAUUUUAUAGGUAAUAUGUUAUGUUUUUUCAAUACAUACUGUAGUUGUUCUUAAAACAUCAAAAUUUUAUGUGUAAUGUUUAUUAAUGUGCACAUAAUUCUUAAAACCAUAUUUUUCACAAAAUAAAAAAUAAUGUUUGACCAAACCAAAUACUCAUUUUUUAAUUUACCGGCAAAAUCCAUUUAUCUAUUUCUUUACUUGUAAAGCUUAAAACAAAAUUUUAUCAAACAGUUUUUGUUGAUAAAUAAGUUUUAUAUUUCAGAAAAUCUAUAUAUAUUUUUAUAUCCAACAGGAAUGAUGGCAGAAGUGCAUAAAAAGAAUUGUCCUCAUAAAAUUCCAAUAAAAGGAAGCUAUUGUAUUCCAACUGAAUGUUUGGCUAUGUGUAAGAAACAACAUGGAACUCUUGGAAGUUGUGCGGAAAAAGGAAUUUGUAGGUGCGUUUAUAAGUAAGGGUUCUCACUAAGUGUUAUGACUCUAAUAAUGUCCAACCAAAGUUUUAUAUUAUUUAUUUUAACAAUAAGUCUAAAUGUUUGUCUCUGAUUUGUGGAUCUAUUUAUAAUAAAUAAUAAUUUGAAUGUUAAAUAAAUACAAAUGUGUAAAACCAGAGUGGACUAUUAAUAAAAUAUAUGAUAACAUUAUUGUUAGAUGUAACCAGUAUUAUUUAUAAAAUCAAAAGCUUAAGACAAGUUAAAAAGAUAGAGAUGAAAUCACAACCAAUAUUUAAAUGUGAGAUAAUCAACUAACAUGUAAUUUUGUACACAUUGUAAAAAAAAAAGCAAGUUUUGAUUCUCAAACAAGAAAGUGUUAGAAAGAGCAACGGAUCAUGCAAGGGCAGUCUAGGUUUUAAUUGGCUUGACAGAUGGGUUGCAGACAUGCCAUGGGAAAGUCCUACAAACUUAUCAGACAGCGCAAAGAAAAUUGAUAGAAUUGUUUCUGAACAUGACAAAGCUCUGGUCAUGAAGAAAAAUUUCACAACCAGAGUUUUUGGUAGACCUCCUCCAAUGUCAUCAUCAGCUACGAGUUAUGAGACUUCAUCCACAUCUCAGUCUCCAUUUCCAUUCUCAUGAAGUUUCCUUUAGGGAAGAGGUUAUUACAGAAAGCCAAGUUACAUGAACCUAACACAAUCUAUCAAAGCUAAGAAGAGACGAUCAACCAGUAUUCUUCAUCUUAUUGUUCCAAAAUCACUGUUUGAAAAGAAACAGUCCAUGUCUUACAACGAAGAUGUGAAUGUAAAGUGUUGUGCAUGUUCGGAUCCAUCUUGCACCCAGUGGAGUGAUCUAUAUCCACAUGCUCAAGUAACAAGGAGAAAUAUGUGGGCAAAGAAGCUAAAGUACACAUCGUUUCAUUAAAUCAUUAAAGCAUUUCAACACCUUGAGGGUUCUAAAACACACACAAAAUACUAAUUUAUUGAUAUAUAAGCAACUUCUAUGUAUGUUCUUUUACAUAUGAGUUAGUAUGAAUACUGCUGUAAUGUUGUUGUUUGACCACUUUUAUUAUUUAAUAGUUAACUUCUAAUGCUUCUAAGAUAAUAUGUUCUUCCCAACUCUUGUCAAUAUGAAACCAAAGGCAAAGUUUCAUCUUUAGACAUGAAAGACCUAUUAAAUGACCAAAUAACAUAGUUUAGACGAAAGCUUCCUAAUAAAAUUUAUUCUCACUGUCUAAAUCUAAAACUGAAUUCAAUUCAUCUAUAUGAUUAUUAUAUAGUUUUAAUUUUUCGUUAUUUUAUUGAAUGAGUAAAAAAAUUAAUUAAAAACUUACUAAUUUUUUAAUAUAAUCUAAUAAAUUAUGUUACGUGUGGGACAUCCACCUAAUAAACUAUUAAAUUAAAUAGUAAUGUUUGAAAAGUAUUUUAUUGACAUUGUUUUAAAUAAAUUCAUAAUUCUAAAAAUAGCAAUAACUUUUUGAGAACAUCAGAUUUAUGAACACGCAUAGGACAAAAACCUUUUUAUUUACUUGAAGGAAAAUGAACGACUCUAAAGCUUCCACAUGUUAUAUGAGCAAAACAUGGAUUUUUCUAAAUUAGAUUCGUUUAAAUCGGAACAUAUUAAUGUGAGUUUCUUAAAUUAGAUUUUAAAUAUGUAUAUAUACGUAAGAAUACUUCUUAUGUUUAAAAAAAAUAGAACACUUCAUCUCUUUCCUAAACUUUUAAGCCAAUAUCAAUCCAUUUCUAUAAUCCAAGAUGAAGAAAUCCCUUCAACUCUAGUUUACGUUCUUAAUUAUCUCCAUCAUUCUCUCACAAGGAAUGAUGACAGAUGCGCAGAAAAAGAAUUGUCCUCAUAAAAUUCCAAUAAAAGGAAGCUAUUGUG